rfam:Picea glauca, whole genome shotgun sequence.
CGACCCCAGCUCAGGUGAGAACACCCGUUGAGUUUAAGCAUAUAAUUAAGUGGAGGAAAAGAAACUUACAAGGAUUCCCCUAGUAACGACGAGCGAACCGGGAAGAGCCCAACAUGAAAAUCGGGUGGCAGUGUCGCCUGAAUUGUAGUCUGUAGAAGCAUACUUAGUGGUGGACCGGGCCCAAGUCCCCUGGAAGGGGGUGCCUGAGAGGGUGAUAGCCCCGUCGGGUCGGGACCCUUCUGCACCACGAGGCAUUGUCAGCGAGUCGGGUUGUUUGGGAAUGCAACCCUAAUCAGGUGGUAAAUUCUGUCCAAGGAUAAAUAUAGGCCAGAGACUGAUAGCGAACAAGUACCAUGAGGGAAAUAUGAAAAGGAAUUUGAAAAGAGAGUUAAAGAGUGCUUGAAAUUACUGGGAGGGAAGCGGAUGGAGGCCUAUGAUGCAUCUCGGUCGGAUACAGAAUGGCUCAAGCUGGUCCGCCGCUCGACUCAAGGUGAAAACCAGCACAGGUCGUUGCAUCGGCACAAGUGCAUGUGGAGUACUGCCUGUUGGUUUGUCGUUGUGGUAGUUGAGGAACGAAGCGUGCGCCCUUGGGGCGGGCCACUGUGCACCUGCAUGCUUGUGGUGUUGGUUGGCAGGAUUUCCAUUUGACCUGUCUUGAAACACGGACCAAGGAGUCUAACAUGUGUGCGAGUCGGUGGGUUUGUAAACCUGCGAGACAUAAGGAAGCUGACAGGUGAGAACCCCUUUCCAUGGGGUGCAUUGUCGACUGACCUUGAGCUUGUGCGAAGGGUUUGAGUGUGAGCACACCUGUUGGGACCCGAAAGAUGGUGAACUAUGCCUGAGUAGGGCGAAGCCAGAGGAAACUCUGGUGGAGGCCCGUAGCAAUACUGACAUGCAAAUUGUUCAUAUCACUUGGGUAUAGGGGCGAAAGACUCAUUGAACCAUCUAGUAGCUGGUUUCCUCUGAAUUUUCCCUCAGGAUAGAUGGAGCUCACGUGUGAGUUUUAUCGGGUAAAGAAAAUGAUUAGAGGCAUCGGGGGCGUAACGCCCUCGACCUAUUCUCAAACUUUAAAUAGGUAAGACGGUGCGGCUGCUCCAUUGAGCCAUGCCAUGGAAUCGAAAGCUCACAGAGGACCAUUUUUGGUAAGAGGAACUGGCGAUGCGGGCUGAACUGAAAGUCAAGUUACAGUGACAAAAUGCGUGCUAACCCGGAUCCAACAAAGGGUGUUGUUUGAUUAAGACAAUAGGACGGUGGUCAUGGAAGUCGAAAUCUGCUAAGGAGUGUGUAACAAUUUACUUGCCAAAUCAACUAGCCCCGAAACUGGAUGGCGCUGAAGCGCGCGACCUAUACUUGACCGUCGGAGCAAUUGCCAGGCUUUGAUGAGUAGGAGGACUCGGGGGUCAUUGAGAAACCUUGGGCAUGAGCCUGGGUGGACUAGUCCCUAGUGCAGAUCUUGGUGGUAGUAGAAAAUAUUCAAAUGAGAACUUUGAAGACUGAAGUGGGGAAAGGUUCCAUGUGAACAACACUUGGACAUGGGUUAGUCGAUCCUAAG